AAGACCUUGCGCUUUUGGAGCGGCCGAUGCCUGAUUAGCUUGUUGGUAAGGUAAAAGCUUACCAAGGCUUCGAUCAGUAGCUGGUCUGAGAGGACGACCAGCCACACUGGGACUGAGACACGGCCCAGACUCCUACGGGAGGCAGCAGUGGGGAAUUUUGGACAAUGGGGGCAACCCUGAUCCAGCCAUGCCGCGUGAGUGAAGAAGGCCUUCGGGUUGUAAAGCUCUUUCAGCCGGAACGAAACGGUUACGGUUAAUACCCGUGACUACUGACGGUACCGGAAGAAGAAGCACCGGCUAACUACGUGCCAGCAGCCGCGGUAAUAUGUAGGGUGCGAGCGUUAAUCGGAAUUACUGGGCGUAAAGCGUGCGCAGGUGGUUUUGUAAGUCAGAUGUGAAAGCCCCGGGCUCAACCUGGGAACU
rnacentral:rRNA from 1 species